rnacentral:rRNA from 1 species
UUAAAUUGAAGAGUUUGAUCAUGGCUCAGAUUGAACGCUGGCGGCAGGCCUAACACAUGCAAGUCGAACGGUAACAGGAAUCAGCUUGCUGAUUCGCUGACGAGUGGCGGACGGGUGAGUAAUGUCUGGGAAACUGCCUGAUGGAGGGGGAUAACUACUGGAAACGGUAGCUAAUACCGCAUAACGUCGCAAGACCAAAGAGGGGGACCUUCGGGCCUCUUGCCAUCGGAUGUGCCCAGAUGGGAUUAGCUAGUAGGUGGGGUAACGGCUCACCUAGGCGACGAUCCCUAGCUGGUCUGAGAGGAUGACCAGCCACACUGGAACUGAGACACGGUCCAGACUCCUACGGGAGGCAGCAGUGGGGAAUAUUGCACAAUGGGCGCAAGCCUGAUGCAGCCAUGCCGCGUGUAUGAAGAAGGCCUUCGGGUUGUAAAGUACUUUCAGCGGGGAGGAAGGGAGUAAAGUUAAUACCUUUGCUCAUUGACGUUACCCGCAGAAGAAGCACCGGCUAACUCCGUGCCAGCAGCCGCGGUAAUACGGAGGGUGCAAGCGUUAAUCGGAAUUACUGGGCGUAAAGCGCACGCAGGCGGUUUGUUAAGUCGGAUGUGAAAUCCCCGGGCUCAACCUGGGAACUGCAUCUGAUACUGGCAAGCUUGAGUCUCGUAGAGGGGGGUAGAAUUCCAGGUGUAGCGGUGAAAUGCGUAGAGAUCUGGAGGAAUACCGGUGGCGAAGGCGGCCCCCUGGACGAAGACUGACGCUCAGGUGCGAAAGCGUGGGGAGCAAACAGGAUUAGAUACCCUGGUAGUCCACGCCGUAAACGAUGUCGACUUGGAGGUUGUGCCCUUGAGGCGUGGCUUCCGGAGCUAACGCGUUAAGUCGACCGCCUGGGGAGUACGGCCGCAAGGUUAAAACUCAAAUGAAUUGACGGGGGCCCGCACAAGCGGUGGAGCAUGUGGUUUAAUUCGAUGCAACGCGAAGAACCUUACCUGGUCUUGACAUCCACAGAACUUUCCAGAGAUGGAUUGGUGCCUUCGGGAACUGUGAGACAGGUGCUGCAUGGCUGUCGUCAGCUCGUGUUGUGAAAUGUUGGGUUAAGUCCCGCAACGAGCGCAACCCUUAUCCUUUGUUGCCAGCGGUCCGGCCGGGAACUCAAAGGAGACUGCCAGUGAUAAACUGGAGGAAGGUGGGGAUGACGUCAAGUCAUCAUGGCCCUUACGACCAGGGCUACACACGUGCUACAAUGGCGCAUACAAAGAGAAGCGACCUCGCGAGAGCAAGCGGACCUCAUAAAGUGCGUCGUAGUCCGGAUUGGAGUCUGCAACUCGACUCCAUGAAGUCGGAAUCGCUAGUAAUCGUGGAUCAGAAUGCCACGGUGAAUACGUUCCCGGGCCUUGUACACACCGCCCGUCACACCAUGGGAGUGGGUUGCAAAAGAAGUAGGUAGCUUAACCUUCGGGAGGGCGCUUACCACUUUGUGAUUCAUGACUGGGGUGAAGUCGUAACAAGGUAACCGUAGGGGAACCUGCGGUUGGAUCACCUCCUUACCUUAAAGAAGC